rnacentral:rRNA from 1 species
AAUGUCGCGGUGAAUACGUUCCCGGGCCUUGUACACACCGCCCGUCACACCAUGGGAGUGGGUUGCACCAGAAGUAGCUAGUCUAACCUUCGGGAGGACGGUUACCACGGUGUGAUUCAUGACUGGGGUGAAGUCGUAACAAGGUAGCCGUAGGGGAACCUGCGGCUGGAUCACCUCCUUAA